CAGCCGCCACGGUAAUACAGAGGGUGCGAGCGUUAAUCGGAUUUACUGGGCGUAAAGCGUGCGUAGGCGGCUUCUUAAGUCGGAUGUGAAAUCCCUGAGCUUAACUUAGGAAUUGCAUUCGAUACUGGGAAGCUAGAGUAUGGGAGAGGAUGGUAGAAUUCCAGGUGUAGCGGUGAAAUGCGUAGAGAUCUGGAGGAAUACCGAUGGCGAAGGCAGCCAUCUGGCCUAAUACUGACGCUGAGGUACGAAAGCAUGGGGAGCAAACAGGAUUAGAUACCCGAGUAGUCCCUGUCUCUUAUAA
rnacentral:rRNA from 1 species